rnacentral:rRNA from 1 species
GGUGGGUAUGUUAAUAGCAUACUCAUUUGACGUUAGCUGCAGAAGAAGCACCGGCUAACUCCGUGCCAGCAGCCGCGGUAAUACGGAGGGUGCGAGCGUUAAUCGGAAUUACUGGGCGUAAAGCGCAUGCAGGUGGUUUGUUAAGUCAGAUGUGAAAGCCCGGGGCUCAACCUCGGAAUUGCAUUUGAAACUGGCAAACUAGAGUACUGUAGAGGGGGUAGAAUUUCAGGUGUAGCGGUGAAAUGCGUAGAGAUCUGAAGGAAUACCGGUGGCGAAGGCGGCCCCCUGGACAGAUACUGACACUCAGAUGCGAAAGCGUGGGGAGCAAACAGGAUUAGAUACCCUGGUAG